AGCGAACGCUGGCGGCAGGCUUAACACAUGCAAGUCGAGCGGGCACUUUCGGGUGUCCGCGGCGGACGGGUGAGUAACGCGUGGGAACGUGCCCUCUGGUUCGGAAUAACUCAGGGAAACUUGAGCUAAUACCGGAUACGCCCUUUUGGGGAAAGGCUUGCUGCCGGAGGAUCGGCCCGCGUCUGAUUAGCUAGUUGGUGGGGUAACGGCUCACCAAGGCGACGAACAGUAGCUGGUCUGAGAGGAUGAUCAGCCACACUGGGACUGAGACACGGCCCAGACUCCUACGGGAGGCAGCAGUGGGGAAUAUUGGACAAUGGGCGCAAGCCUGAUCCAGCCAUGCCGCGUGAGUGAUGAAGGCCUUAGGGUUGUAAAGCUCUUUUAUCCGGGACGAUAAUGACGGUACCGGAGGAAUAAGCCCCGGCUAACUUCGUG
rnacentral:rRNA from 1 species